rnacentral:ncRNA from 1 species
AGUUUCCAGGUCUGUGGUUGCAAGUCGAAGCCAGCUGCAGGCUAAACGACCCACGUAAGGCGGCAGUAUAGUGCCGCUGAUCAUGGUGCGGCUUAGAAGUAAGCCCGACCAGGUUUUCAUGGAACCGUAAGGAAGGACGCUACAAGAAUCCCCGCUUUUCUAUGCCGUGGAUCCAGCGACUCCCCAAGGAUGCCAAAAACCUGAGAGAAGAAGUAGUGAGGAAGGCCAACCUUUAUUAGCGAAACUUCCUGUCGGCGGGUGUGGGGUCAAGCCAGGUCAGCUGGAACGA